AUACGUAGGUGGCAAGCGUUGUCCGGAAUUAUUGGGCGUAAAGCGCAUGUAGGCGGCGGUUUAAGUCUGUCGUGAAACUGCGGGGCUCAGCCCCGUAUGGCGAUGGAAACUGGACGGCUUGAGUGCAGGAGAGGAAAGGGGAACUCCCAGUGUAGCGGUGAAAUGCGUAGAUAUUGGGAAGAACACCGGUGGCGAAGGCGCCUUUCUGGACUGUGUCUGACGCUGAGAUGCGAAAGCCAGGGUAGCGAACGGGAUUAGAUACCCCGGUAGUCCUGGUCGUAAACGAUGGGUACUAGGUGUGGGAGGUAUCGACCCCUUCCGUGCCGGAGUUAACGCAAUAAGUACCCCGCCUGGGGAGUACGGCCGCAAGGCUUAAACUCAAAGGAAUUGACGGGG
rnacentral:rRNA from 1 species